rnacentral:snRNA from 1 species
ACUCUUAAACAAUUACAGAGCGC